AUAUAUAUAGUAGAGCUACUAUGCUAUCGAAAGUAUAGAGAUAUGGUGCUUUCGAUUUUUUGAUUCUUAGAUCAAUCCCUUUAAUCGUUUCUUAUCUUUGGAUUAAUAUUAUUAUUACCUUGUAAGGACCACUCAAUCCUAAGAGUAUUAUUUAAUCCUAGGUGAGACCACAAUCAUCCCAACCAUACAAUUUUUAAUCAAAGGGUCAAAAAUUCAAAAACAUCAAAUCCUCUAUAUUUUCGAUAGCAUAGUAGUCCUACACUAUAUAUAUAUUACAAAAUAUAUAAAUAUAAUAUAUUUUAAUUAUAUAUAGGCUGAGUGAAUAAUUUGAGUUUAGUUAAAAUUGGGCCAAUGUUGUUGGCCCAUAAAAACAAAUCUAAUAGACAAAUAAAAGAGCAAAAUCUUACUAAAUUUAUAUAUUCUUUCUUUCUUUCUUUCUUCCACAGAGCUCUAAAUUUUCAAUAUGUUUCUCUCUUUCUCUUUUUCUGUUUCUCACCCUAAGUGGCCAAGCCGGAAGCCCUCUAAGUUACCAAGUAACAUCAUAUGCCCGCUGUUACCUACCUUGCUAUUAAUUGUAUACUUGAGAAAAUAUACGGAAUAUUUUUGAAGUAAAAAAUUAUUAUUCAUAUAAAAUUUUAAUUUUAGUUAUAUAUUAUUAGAUAGUUUAAUCCAAUAUUUAUCUAUAUAAUUUAUUUAUUUUUGACUACAUAA
rnacentral:lncRNA from 1 species